AUGUUAGCGGCGGACGGGUGAGUAACACGUGGGUAACCUGCCUGUAAGACUGGGAUAACUCCGGGAAACCGGGGCUAAUACCGGAUGGUUGUUUGAACCGCAUGGUUCAAACAUAAAAGGUGGCUUCGGCUACCACUUACAGAUGGACCCGCGGCGCAUUAGCUAGUUGGUGAGGUAACGGCUCACCAAGGCAACGAUGCGUAGCCGACCUGAGAGGGUGAUCGGCCACACUGGGACUGAGACACGGCCCAGACUCCUACGGGAGGCAGCAGUAGGGAAUCUUCCGCAAUGGACGAAAGUCUGACGGAGCAACGCCGCGUGAGUGAUGAAGGUUUUCGGAUCGUAAAGCUCUGUUGUUAGGGAAGAACAAGUACCGUUCGAAUAGGGCGGUACCUUGACGGUACCUAACCAGAAAGCCACGGCUAACUACGUGCCAGCAGCCGCGGUAAUACGUAGGUGGCAAGCGUUGUCCGGAAUUAUUGGGCGUAAAGGGCUCGCAGGCGGUUUCUUAAGUCUGAUGUGAAAGCCCCCGGCUCAACCGGGGAGGGUCAUUGGAAACUGGGGAACUUGAGUGCAGAAGAGGAGAGUGGAAUUCCACGUGUAGCGGUGAAAUGCGUAGAGAUGUGGAGGAACACCAGUGGCGAAGGCGACUCUCUG
rnacentral:rRNA from 1 species